AUAGAUUCCAUUUUACAUUAAAUUAAGGUAGACGUGUCGGUAAAUACGUAGCAAUAGCUAGCAACCCAAAAUCAAAGAAAGUUUUAAGGUGAACUGGUUGGUUUCGCUGGGGAUUGUUCUUGUAUUUUUUGAUCCAGUUCACUUUUCAAUUUUUCAUGAGCUCGGAACACUUUGCUCUGGAGGUAAAAAGAUCCUCCUUUUUUAGGAUCAUUAAUCUCAAACAUUUUUUGAAAUCGUUUUUCUAACUCUCCUUCUUCUAAUGAUUCUGGCUUAAUGUUUAAAAUGCUACCAGCUUCUUGAAUAGUCAUUUCACCUCGACGAACAGCAGUUGAUGAUUUGGAAGCAGCAGCUUGACCAGUACUUUGUUGAGCUGCAUUAGCAAUCAUUUGCUUAUAAGCUUGUACAAAAGCUUUGCUCAUUACUAAUAUUGUUAGGGUUUUUAAUCUUUUGAAUAAAUCCUUGAUAGGAGAAUGGCCACAAACAUACCUUGCGAACCAACAAUUAUAAAUCGACCGACAGCCCUUGGAAGCGACAUUUUUUAAUGUAAUAUAGUAAUUUUGAACAAAUAAUUAUGAUAAAUGUCUUCCUUUAUUUUAUUUUCAGA